rnacentral:rRNA from 1 species
GGUGAGUAACACGUGGGUAACCUGCCUGUAAGACUGGGAUAACUCCGGGAAACCGGGGCUAAUACCGGAUGCUUGUUUGAACCGCAUGGUUCAAACAUAAAAGGUGGCUUCGGCUACCACUUACAGAUGGACCCGCGGCGCAUUAGCUAGUUGGUGAGGUAAUGGCUCACCAAGGCGACGAUGCGUAGCCGACCUGAGAGGGUGAUCGGCCACACUGGGACUGAGACACGGCCCAGACUCCUACGGGAGGCAGCAGUAGGGAAUCUUCCGCAAUGGACGAAAGUCUGACGGAGCAACGCCGCGUGAGUGAUGAAGGUUUUCGGAUCGUAAAGCUCUGUUGUUAGGGAAGAACAAGUACCGUUCGAAUAGGGCGGUACCUUGACGGUACCUAACCAGAAAGCCACGGCUAACUACGUGCCAGCAGCCGCGGUAAUACGUAGGUGGCAAGCGUUGUCCGGAAUUAUUGGGCGUAAAGGGCUCGCAGGCGGUUUCUUAAGUCUGAUGUGAAAGCCCCCGGCUCAACCGGGGAGGGUCAUUGGAAACUGGGGA